GACAGGAGUGAGGAGCUAGGUUGUGAAGUCUGAGUUGCUGGGGUACAUCAGGCCAAAGCAGAUUCAGGGAUCCCAACAUGGUGGUGACUACACAGCUAUGACGGGGUUCCACUGGCUCCAUUACAUCCGGCACAGAGGACUGGUCAGUGGUAGUUUUUCAGUCACAGCUCCAAAACUAUCUUAUAAACUUACACUCUUCUGCAUCCUUGGUUUCAGAUGGUGCCACUUUGCAUCUUAUCCUGAUCCCACAUUUCUCACUGAUUGUUUCAUGUGUCCCAAAUUGCUGACCCAUUUUUUACCCCACACUCACAGAUUUGGGUCAACUCACUCUAAACACUAUUCUGAUCGUAACCACACAUCAACUCCGUCAGAAUUAGGGCUAAAAUCGAUUCGGUAAAAUUCAAAUGUACCACUUUGGUAGUUUCCAGACAUCUUGAUGUUGAAUGUUUUAUAUUUAUCUAACCCUUUCAAACCACUUACUAUGUGCUAGGCACCAUAUUAAGUACUUUACAAAUAUUAAUUCAUAACAGCCCACGAUUUAGUUUUAUGAGAAUUAUUCCUAAUUUACAGAUGAAACAAGUGAAGUAUAAAUAGGUUAAGUAACAUGUCCAAUAUCUGCCGCAUGGCAAGUGGUAGAAUUGAAACUCAAACCCAGGCAACUGAAACCCAGAAUUCAGAAUUGCUUUGCUCCGCUAUAUCAUCACCCGGGACUUUGAUGGAUUUGGCUCUCCCAAGUGUUGCCAAGCUGGAGACUCCAAGGCUGACCAAUAAGAAGUCCAGCUUUACGUACCACUACCAACAGCAUGGAUGCAUCAGAGGAAUGUCCUGAAAAUAUCAUUGCCAUGCAAGCUUGAUGUGCAGGCAGUACUGGUUCCAAAUACUACAGGAAGGAAGAUCUGGAGCAAGA
rnacentral:lncRNA from 10 species